rnacentral:rRNA from 1 species
GACGAACGCUGGCGGCGUGCUUAACACAUGCAAGUCGAACGGAAAGGCCCUGCUUUUGUGGGGUGCUCGAGUGGCGAACGGGUGAGUAACACGUGAGUAACCUGCCCUUGACUUUGGGAUAACUUCAGGAAACUGGGGCUAAUACCGGAUAGGAGCUCCUGCUGCAUGGUGGGGGUUGGAAAGUUUCGGCGGUUGGGGAUGACUUGCGGCUUAUCAGCUUGUUGGUGGGGUAGUGGCUUACCAAGGCUUUGACGGGUAGCCGGCCUGAGAGGGUGACCGGCCACAUUGGGACUGAGAUACGGCCCAGACUCCUACGGGAGGCAGCAGUGGGGAAUAUUGCACAAUGGGCGGAAGCCUGAUGCAGCAACGCCGCGUGCGGGAUGACGGCCUUCGGGUUGUAAACCGCUUUCGCCUGUGACGAAGCGUGAGUGACGGUAAUGGGUAAAGAAGCACCGGCUAACUACGUG